rnacentral:RNase_P_RNA from 1 species
GAUGACCGGAUGGCUGCUGUUGGCCUUAUGCUGACAGAGGAAAGUCCGGGCUUUACAGGAUCAGGAUGCUGGAUAACGUCCAGCGGGGGCGACCCCAGGGAAAGUGCCACAGAAAACAAACCGCCAGACACAGCGUCUGGUAAGGGUGAAAAGGGGCGGUAAGAGCGCACCGCAGGGCUGGUGACAGGCCUGGCAGGGUAAACCCCAUCCGAAGCAAGACCAUGUAGGGGCAUAGCUGUUUAGUCAGCACUGGUGAUCCUGCCAGAGAUGUCCGGGUAGGUUGCAAGAGGUGUCUGGUAACAGGCAUCCCAGAUGAAUAGUCAUCAUCUGUGCGGCCCGUUUCGGGCGGCACAGAGACAGAACCCGGCUUACAGGUUGUCUGU